rnacentral:rRNA from 1 species
UACAGAGGAUGCAAGCGUUAAUCGGAAUUACUGGGCGUAAAGCGUGCGUAGGCGGUUUGUUAAGUCUGUUGUGAAAUCCCCGGGCUCAACCUGGGAAUGGCCGUUGAAACUGGCGAACUGGAGUGUGGCAGAGGGGGGUGGAAUUCCGCGUGUAGCAGUGAAAUGCGUAGAGAUGCGGAGGAACACCGAUGGCGAAGGCAGCCCUCCGGUCGCGACACUGACGCUCAGUGCGAAAGCGUGGGGAGCAAACAGG